rnacentral:rRNA from 1 species
CGCUUACUCGGGGAUAGCCUUUCGAAAGAAAGAUUAAUACCCGAUAGUAUAAUGAUUCCGCAUGGUUUCCUUAUUAAAGGAUUCCGGUAAAGGAUGGGGAUGCGUUCCAUUAGGUUGUUGGUGAGGUAACGGCUCACCAAGCCUUCGAUGGGUAGGGGUUCUGAGAGGAAGGUCCCCCACAUUGGAACUGAGACACGGUCCAA